rnacentral:lncRNA from 1 species
AAAUUCAAGCAUCAACUCCACUUAGUUUUAAAGUUACAUUCAAGCUCUAAAUCAACUCAUUAAAGAUACGAACAAAACAAAAUCUAAAGAAAAUUGCAAACCCAUGUGAAAUUCACAUUAAUAGAAUGCAUCAAAAAAGGUAGCGCCAAUUCAUUCACAAAAUAGCAAACAAAAACAGAUUUAAGACAUAAGAGUUAGAAAUGGACCUCAAAAGAUGACUUCUGUUAAUUAACUUUUCUUGGCUUGAACGAACAAAUAUGAAAAUGACCUCCGGUAGAUAACACAACCACGAACAAAUACAGAACUUGAAGCUCGAGCAGGAACCGCGAAUCUGCCCGGAAACCUCGGACUACGACUUUCGACGAACUCGGAACUCAACAGAAAUUAAAACACCAAUUAAUGACUGAAGAUGGUCUCAAAGGAGCAACGACAGUAUUUCCCAAAAAAGAACGACGGGAACAGAACGAGAAGAUGCAAAUCGCUGAAAAAUUCAACCAAAGCACAGCGUAUCCAGAAGAUAAUAAACGGGGUAGUAGAGCAUAGCAAAUCACUGAAAAAGCAUUUUCCGACGAAAGCACACACAAACAAAGCCACGCCUGUCUGAGACAGUCAUUCCUAAGAACACUACUUCAGCAACUAAACGGAGUAGCGACUGUGAGAAGAAGGGAGUGGCACGCGACAGCAACGAGGGAAGAGAGACAGCAGCGGUGCUGGUGGUUGCUAACUCGCCGUAUUCCAGUGCUUGGCGGUAAGGGAGCGGCGGCUGUGGUGGUGUAUAGAAGAGCGACGACUGGUUCAUUUUAGGUGGAGGGUUUGUCUUGUGAUCUUCAGAUUUUGGUCUUACGUCUUGUGUGCGAGAGAUGGGGUGGGCGAUGGGGCUUGGAGAUGUGGAGAAGAUGGGAGAUUAGGGAGGGCUGUGUGCGUUUUUCCGGCGAGUUUGGUUUCUGGCGCGGCGGCUUCAAGUGGUGGGCGGCGGCUGUCUAGGUAUGGGGUUCUAGGGUUCCGCUAGUGUGUUCCCUUCUUCGUGAAGAUGGCUGCUCCCUUUUGUAUAUUAGGUUCGAGGUUUUUUUUUUUGUAAGUCUUUGUGUAAGGAAUAAGAAGACAAGGGUAGGGUUAGUGGAUCAAUUGAGCCAAUUAUUUUUGGGCUCAAAUUCUAUGGGCUAGACAAUUUAAAUGAGCUGAAAAUUUAAUUUACUUUAUUUUUAAAAAUUACUUAUAACAAGGAAUAAAAUAACUCUCUAUUAAUUUUAAUAAACUAUUAUAUUUAAAAUAAAACUACAAAUUAAAGUUGAAACUAUUUUUGGUAUUUUUAAAGAUUAUAUUAAAAUAAAAUAAAAAUAGGUUUAAAGUAAUAUAUCCUUCUAAAAAUAUCUAAUACGUGAAGUAAGUAGAGAAAUAUGGAACUAUUUUUGUAAUUUUCAAUUUUUGUUCUUAAAAUAAUGUAAAAUAGUUAAAACUAGGUAAAAUAGCAAUAUUAGGCCUAAACUAAAUAUCUAAAAGCUAAAAAGUGUAAAAUCUCGGGGAGGGUCAAAAAUUACAUGUCAACAGCUGCCCCUCUUUGACUGGAAACACGAAGCGUUUUCAGAUAAAGGACGACGAGACAAGUUUUUUGACCCGACACUUAUUUAAAGAGACCAAAAUUUAAAAGAAAGGAGAAUGUGACCGAGCCCUGGUAUCUGAGCUGCCUACAUAUCCUUGGCUAUAAAGGAAUCACGCCACGUGUAGUUCAGAAGUAGGAACAGUGAUGGAGUGUACCGAGGUGGAGAGCCGAUUGAGGAGCCGUCGAGGUUCCGGUCCGCGGUCCCUACCAUUACUUCGAAAAUAAAAGGAAAAAUUACAGCAGAAAUAAAAGAAAAAUACAAGAUCCUAUCUACUUCUUGUCUUGAAUCUUCCUUGAAUCUCGACUUGAUCUUCAAUAUGAAACUAAAAAAUGGACCAUGUUCUUCGGGCGGGCUCCUGAUGCUUCUUGAACUUGAAAAUUAAAAGUUCACCCUAUUCUUCAGGCGGGGCUCCUGACGCCUCUUGAAUUUGAGAAUUGAAAGUAACUCUGAAAUGAAUUCUCUCAUUUUCCAGGUGGGCACCUGCCAGUGACUUAAAACUUGAAUUGAAUUCCCUCAUUCUCCAGGUGGGCGCCUGCUAC